GUUUGCUUAUUUUCUGUCUUGGUUGACAUCGUGACAGUAUUGUGCGUUACAGGUGAUCCUGUCUGUGUCGCUCUGCAGGGUCAGUGAAAUACAGUCAGUCAUGAACAAUAAGGAGAUGGAAAUCUUAGCACCUUUAAGUAGGCCUCAAGAGGACCUCUUGUCAGAUGCAAUGGGUGACCACACAGCAACAGGAGAGCCAAA